AUUAGGGUGGCAGAUCCCGGCGAAUGCAGAAGACCUAAGCUCUUUAUAAAGAGGUUCAAAUCCUCUCCUUAAUU
rnacentral:tRNA from 2 species